GACCCUUGGCAAUUGAUUUGAUUUAUUUUUUUUCAGUACGGAGGGAAAGUUCAUCUAACACUGCUCAGGGCUCCAGGUUCUCAGGAUUUCGGGGAUCCGGUGAAAUCAAGAUCUGGAUUUGCUGGUGGCUCUGCUCGCUCCCGGACGCAGGACAGCUCGGGUGCAGAAGGUGCCAAACUGGGAAGAAAAAUGGAUGUCCUCUGCCUUUCAAGUUGAAAUGACAUCAUUUUUUAUUUUUCUGAUGCCAGGAAUCAAACUCAGGACCUCACCCAUGCAAGGGCCCUGGUCUCCGCAUAACCGACCUCAUGGAAUGGAAUGGAGCCA